rnacentral:snRNA from 1 species
GAAGCUCCAAUGUGGUGGAAUUCAAUAACUGUCCUUAACAGUUUAAUAUCUGAUAUGUCCUCUAUCAAAGGAGAAUACAUUAAAUGGAUUUUUAGAGCACAGUGUUGGAAUAGGAGCGUCCUCCCUCCACUCCACGCAUUGAACUGGUGUUGCAGUUCCUGUAGGCAUGGUUCACCCCUC